rnacentral:rRNA from 1 species
UUUGGGCCACCUCCCAUCCGUGUCUAUUGUACCCUGUUGCUUCGGCGGGCCCGCCGNUUGNCGGCCGCCGGGGGGGCGCCUCUGCCCCCCGGGCCCGUGCCCGCCGGAGACCCCAACACGAACACUGUCUGAAAGCGUGCAGUCUGAGUUGAUUGAAUGCAAUCAGUUAAAACUUUCAACAAUGGAUCUCUUGGUUCCGGCAUCGAUGAAGAACGCAGCGAAAUGCGAUAACUAAUGUGAAUUGCAGAAUUCAGUGAAUCAUCGAGUCUUUGAACGCACAUUGCGCCCCCUGGUAUUCCGGGGGGCAUGCCUGUCCGAGCGUCAUUGCUGCCCUCAAGCCCGGCUUGUGUGUUGGGUCGCCGUCCCCCUCUCCGGGGGGACGGGCCCGAAAGGCAGCGGCGGCACCGCGUCCGAUCCUCGAGCGUAUGGGGCUUUGUCACAUGCUCUGUAGGAUUGGCCGGCGCCUGCCGACGUUUUCCAACCAUUCUUUCCAGGUUGACCUCGGAUCAGGUAGGGAUACCCGCUGAACUUAAGCAUAUCAAUA